UGGGGAAUAUUGCACAAUGGGCGCAAGCCUGAUGCAGCCAUGCCGCGUGUGUGAAGAAGGCCUUCGGGUUGUAAAGCACUUUCAGCGGGGAGGAAGGCGUUAAGGUUAAUAACCUGGGCGAUUGACGUUACCCGCAGAAGAAGCACCGGCUAACUCCGGGCCAGCAGCCGCGGUAAUACGGAGGGUGCAAGCGUUAAUCGGAAUUACUGGGCGUAAAGCGCACGCAGGCGGUCUGUCAAGUCGGAUGUGAAAUCCCCGGGCUCAACCUGGGAACUGCAUUCGAAACUGGCAGGCUAGAGUCUUGUAGAGGGGGGUAGAAUUCCAGGUGUAGCGAUGAAAUGCGUAGAGAUCUGGAGGAAUACCGGUGGCGAAGGCGGCCCCCUGGACAAAGACUGACGCUCAGGUGCGAAAGCGUGGGGAGCAAACAGG
rnacentral:rRNA from 1 species